GCUUAUAUAGUGAAAAAUACAACAUACAUAUCACACCAGGCUUGCACGCCGGAGGUCCCGGGUUCGAUUCCCGGUGGGAUCG
rnacentral:tRNA from 1 species